rnacentral:tRNA from 1 species
GAGCCCGUGGCAUAGCCUGGCUAUUGCACCGCUCUGAUAAGGCGGGGGUCGUCGGUUCAAAUCCGAUCGGGCUCA